AUUGAACGCUGGCGGCAUGCCUUACACAUGCAAGUCGGACGGCAGCGGGGACUUCGGUCCGCCGGCGAGUGGCGAACGGGUGAGUAAUGUAUCGGAACGUACCAUUGAGUGGGGGAUAACGUAGCGAAAGUUACGCUAAUACCGCAUAUUCUCUCCGGAGGAAAGCAGGGGACCGCAAGGCCUUGCGCUCUUUGAGCGGCCGAUAUCAGAUUAGCUAGUUGGUGAGGUAAAGGCGCAACAAGGCGACGAUCUGUAGCGGGUCUUAGAGGAUGAUCCGCCACACUGGAACUGAGACACGGUCCAGACUCCUACGGGAGGCAGCAGUGGGGAAUUUUGGACAAUGGGGGCAACCCUGAUCCAGCCAUGCCGCGUGAGUGAAGAAGGCCUUCGGGUUGUAAAGCUCUUUCGGCCGGGAAAAAAUCGCAUGGGCUAAUAUCCUGUGUGGAUGAUGGUACCGGAAUAAGAAGCACCGGCUAACUACGUGCCAGCAGCCGCGGUAA
rnacentral:rRNA from 1 species